UACAGAGACUGCAAGCGUUGUUCGGAUUCACUGGGCGUAAAGGGUGCGUAGGCGGCCAGGUAAGUCUGCUGUGAAAUCCCGCAGCUCAACUGCGGAACUGCAUUGGAAACUAUCUGGCUAGAGGAAUGGAGGGGAGACUGGAAUUCUCGGUGUAGCAGUGAAAUGCGUAGAUAUCGAGAGGAACACCAGUGGCGAAGGCGAGUCUCUGGACAUUUCCUGACGCUGAGGCACGAAAGCCAGGGGAGCAAACGGG
rnacentral:rRNA from 1 species